rnacentral:ncRNA from 1 species
UGAGGUAGAGGUCGCGGUUUUUAUUAGUAAGGCGGAUGAGAUGCAGAGACAUCAUUGACUCCGUUUGGAAGGAAAAACCGCCGAAGUACGCUUUCUUCUCUGCAAAAGUGUGCUGGGGCUGUCUCCGAAUAGGAGCAGAACUGUCACGUCUUGACCCUACCAGUCAUUUCGUGUUGAGCUAUCU